rnacentral:lncRNA from 1 species
GAUAGAGGAAUUAAUUGUGGUCUGUGGCCGACUGAUUGUAUUCAAUAAUUUGUAUUAUUGUCGGUGUAAAUUAAUUGUUUAUAAUUGAUGCAUGACUUCAUCCUGUAGUAUUUCAUUUAUGGGCUAGUUUAAGUGAUGUUAGGACUUUUUUUUGGGGGGGGGGGAUAUUAAAAAUAAUGUGUUUUAGACAAGAUGUAGGGUGACACAGCAGUACAAAGUAUAUAUUUCUUGACCGUGAGUAUGAAUGUAAAUCUUAUAAUAUUUGAACGAGGAAUUAUCCUUUUUUAAUUACAGUUUCAAUCAACGAAUUAAUUUCAGUUACAACAAAUUUUACUCCUCAGCCAAUACUUUUUUUUAAUUUUCUAAUAAAAUGCCUUUAAAAGUCUUAAACUUAAAUCUAAUUUCUGCUUUUUUUAAUCGGAAUAUCGGAAAUAAUUAUUCUCUAUUGUUUAAUUUUUAGGUACACUACUUGAACUAUUUAUUUUCAUAACAUUAUGGGCACAAAUUUUACUGCAUCAGUAAACUUUUUUUUUUUUAGUCAAAUCCAAUCACUGUGAUAUAUCCCUUCAAUCUGGUAAAUGUGCUUCAGGGCUGUUGUAACUCGUUUAUAUAAAACUCUUCGUUUUGAACUGCAAGUGGGUCUUCAUAAUAGGAUAAUCCCUUACUAAGAACAUGAUUUACAUUCAUUCUUCACA